rnacentral:rRNA from 1 species
AGGAUAAACGCUGGCGGCGUGCCUAACACAUGCAAGUCGAACGCCCUACGCAAGUAGGGAGUGGCGGACGGGUGAGGAACACGUGGGUAAUCUGCCCUUCGGUGAGGAAUACCGGCGAGAAAUCGCCGACAAUACCGCAUGCGUUUCACGGAAGUGAAAGAAAGUCGUAAGACGCCGAGGGAUGAGCCUGCGCCCGAUUAGUUUGUUGGUGGGGUAAAAGCCUACCAAGACUACAAUCGGUAGCUGGUCUGAGAGGACGAUCAGCCACACUGGGAUUGAGAACGGCCCAGACUCCUACGGGGGGCAGCAGUGAGGAUUUUCGUCAAUGGGGGCAACCCUGAACGAGCAACGCCGCGUGCAGGAAGAAGGUUUUCGGAUCGUAAACUGCUUUUCUGUGGGAAGAGAACGGACGGUACCACAGGAAGAAGCCCCGGCUAACUACGCGCCAGCAGCCGC